CAGCCGCCGCGGUAAUACGAAGGGGGCUAGCGUUGCUCGGAAUUACUGGGCGUAAAGGGAGCGUAGGCGGAUCGUUUAGUCAGGGGUGAAAUCCCGGGGCUCAACCUCGGAACUGCCUUUGAUACUGGCGAUCUUGAGUAUGGGAGAGGUGUGUGGAACUCCGAGUGUAGAGGUGAAAUUCGUAGAUAUUCGGAAGAACACCAGUGGCGAAGGCGACACACUGGCCCAUUACUGACGCUGAGGCUCGAAAGCGUGGGGAGCAAACAGGAUUAGAUACCCCGGUAGUCCCUGUCUCUUAUAC
rnacentral:rRNA from 1 species